UCUUAUGGAUGAACAUAUAAAGUGGUUUCUUGACAUGGAAUCUACUCCUGGUGAAGAUACUGUGAA
rnacentral:pre_miRNA from 1 species